GAUUCUACUGGGUUAGUGCAAAUGUGAUUGCAGUUUUUGCAAUUACUUUUAAUGGCAAAAACUGCAAUCAUGUUUGCACCAAUCUAAUAA
rnacentral:miRNA from 1 species